rnacentral:rRNA from 1 species
CCUACGGGAGGCAGCAGUAGGGACUCUUUCACAAUGGGCGAAAGCCUGAUGGAGCAACGCCGCGUGCAGGAUGAAGGCCUUCGGGUUGUAAACUGCUUUUAUAAGCGAGAAAUAUUGUGGUAACUGAUGUAUAAUGAUCGUCUAGCUACGUGCAAGCAGCCGCGGUGAUACGUCGGCUCCGAGGAUUAUCCGGAGUGACUGGGGGUAAAGAGUUGCGUAGGGGGCAUAAUAAGGAGCUAGUGAAAUCUGGUGGCUCAACCAUUCAGACUAUUAGCUAAACUGUUAAGCUCGAGACCGUUGAGGGUAAGUGGAAUUUCUGGUGUAGGGGUGAAAUCCUUAGAUAUUAGAAAGAACACCAAUAGCGUAGGCAGGUUGCUGGGACGGUUCUGACACUAAGGCACGAAGGCGUAGGGAGCGAACGGGAUUAGAUACCCGAGUAGUC